rnacentral:rRNA from 1 species
AACGAACGCUGGCGGCAGGCCUAACACAUGCAAGUCGAGCGCACCCUUCGGGGCGAGCGGCGGACGGGUUAGUAACGCGUGGGAAUGUACCCUUUUCUACGGAAUAGCCAUUGGAAACGAUGAGUAAUACCGUAUACGCCCUUUGGGGAAAGAUUUAUCGGAGAAGGAUCAGCCCGCGUUAGAUUAGAUAGUUGGUGGGGUAAUGGCCUACCAAGUCUACGAUCUAUAGCUGGUUUUAGAGGAUGAUCAGCAACACUGGGACUGAGACACGGCCCAGACUCCUACGGGAGGCAGCAGUGGGGAAUCUUAGACAAUGGGCGCAAGCCUGAUCCAGCCAUGCCGCGUGAGUGAAGAAGGCCUUAGGGUCGUAAAGCUCUUUCGCCAGGGAUGAUAAUGACAGUACCUGGUAAAGAAACCCCGGCUAACUCCGUGCCAGCAGCCGCGGUAAUACGGAGGGGGUUAGCGUUGUUCGGAAUUACUGGGCGUAAAGCGCACGUAGGCGGAUUAGAAAGUAUGGGGUGAAAUCCCAGGGCUCAACCCUGGAACUGCCUCAUAAACUCCUAAUCUAGAGUUCGAGAGAGGUGAGUGGAAUUCCGAGUGUAGAGGUGAAAUUCGUA